rnacentral:snoRNA from 1 species
UAAAAUGAUGAUAAACAAAAACAAUUUGGGUAAUUUGCGUCUGAAAUUUAAUAAGAUGCAUAACGUUUUUUUUUAUCUGAUU